CUCUAAAGUAAAUGAAAUUACUCUCAAUUAUAAUAAUUAUUAAUAUCUAGGUCUUCUUUUACGGAAAAAGAAGCCAUUGCACGUAGUUAAUACCUUAAGCAAAUUGGAUAAAUGCAUAUAUAUAGUUGUAACUGUUAUAAGUAAAAGGCUCGUUAGACGAAUUUCUAAAUCAAUUUAGUAUGUACGACAAUUAAUCUUUGACAUCUUUAUUCACAUUUAACUUUAUAGAGCCUUAUUUAUUAUAUAUUUAAUUAUUAUGAAACAUUGUGGCAAUAUUUUGUAAAAUAAUGAAAUGUUAGGCAUCUAAUUGAUAGUGAUAUCAACCAUUAAAAAUUCGGCAAUCUAAAUGUCAUAACGAAAAUUUCAAUCAUCUUUACUAUUCAUACAAACUCGUACUAUAAAUCAGACUCUUAUAUGUAUAACAAUAUCUUGGUGCAUUAUUAUAUAACCUCAUUUUUAAAGUCAGUUGACAAUAAAUUGAAAAUUACAAUGGAAGAAAUAAGAUAUUUUCUGUAAUUUUCCUACUUCUUUUGUUUCUUAUUUGAUCCAGAAAAAACUAGAUUAUUUUUGUGAAUUUUUAGUACAGAUUACUUAGAUUAUAUUAAAAUAUCACUGUUUAUCAUCAGCAUCGAGUAGUAUUCCACGCAGAUAGGAAUUGUGUACAUUUCUCGUAUAAAUAUAAACGUAGAUUUUUUCUGAACUAUCCAUUCUGCUUCCACCUUUUAUUGUGCAAGGAUGUCCAAGAAAAAAAUAUCCAUUGAAGACAUUAUCUUGAGUGCACAUCGUACUCCGAUUCAGAAGGUGAGGUUUUCGAAUUGGAAAAAGAUGAAUAAUAUGCUCAUAUACCUCAAUCAAGUUCUUCUGAUUCUGAUGACUAUUUUGAUGUUUUUGACAAGCCUGUUGCAUUUCAAGAAAUGCCAGGAUGCAAUCAAGUGACUCAAUUCCCGUCUUCUAAGAAACAUAAAUCAACCGACUUAUUAGAAGAGUCAAUGUAUGUUGGCAAGGAUAACACAAUCUGGCACAAACAAAUAGGAAAUUGAGAAAUUUCAGCCCGUUUUAGCCAAGAAAACAUUUUGAAGGAAGAAGGUUGUGAUUGAAAUAAUUGAUUAUUUUCUUCUAUAUUAACCUUUGAUUCAUCAUCUUCACCAAUAAGUUCGGUAAUCAAAUUAUUCAAAAACUGGCGACGAGUUAUUUUCUUACCAGUCACUUCUCUGUACAAGAUAACAGCAUUUAUACCAGCAAAAUCCAAAAUAUUAUAAAGAACUUGUAAAGGCUAUCGGCGAGAGGAUAUUUUGGUGGAAUAAAGUAUUGCCAUUUGAUCUAGAAUAUCAACUCCAUACUUAGUUUCAUUAUAAUACUGGAUUGAUUCUGGUAACCUUUUUCGUACAUCUAAAACUUCAACACUUUUGUGCACGGAACUCAAAAUUAAAACAUUUUUUUCCCCCUUGAUAAGAAGUCAAUGUUUUGCCACUAUUUACAAAGAUUAAGCUUGAAAAUAGUGCUUGUCGGUAGCUUUUAGUUCAGGACGUAUUUCUUUGCGAGCACGAUUCAUAGUUCCUAAAAUAGUCGUCCUAUUUUUCUGAAGUUCAUUUGCAAGAGACAAUGACGUAAAGAAAUUAUCUGUUGUAACAUUCCUCCCUUUACCCAAAUAUGGUUCCAUUAGCUUCAUUACGAUAAAUCAAACUGUUCAACUAAAAAUAGAAGCUGGUGUACAGUCAAUUGUAGAAGAAAAUCAAGGCACUUAGCAAGCAAAACCUGUUGUAAAUGUAAGAGAUUCAUAUGCAAGCCUUGUAUUGGUACUGAAAAAACAAUUGUAACUUGUAAAAAAUGCUAAUUUCUUUAUAUGUGUUAUUAUAAAAGUUAUGUUUAUUUUUUUAAGUAAAUAAUAAAUCUUCGGAGAAAAUAAAAA
rnacentral:lncRNA from 1 species